rnacentral:lncRNA from 1 species
UAGCAGUCCAAUGAUUAAUGUCUUACUUUUUUAAUUCCAAGGGCAGUCAAAGCAGAUCCUGGAGUUCUGGCCAGAGAUUGGCUCUGGGUUGGGUUUUACAGGACUGGGUUAGGAAUAGAGGAUUCCUGCUGAAUACAACUCCAGUUGCCAAGGACAAUCUAGCAACCCAAAGUCCACUGUGAAAAGCUGAAGUUUAAGCAAAAGGGUAACAAAAAUCUAUCAAAUCCAGAAGUGAGAAGCAAGAAUAAAAGAAGGCUUUACAGAGGCCAACUGGUGAUUAGAAAUGGAAUCCAAACAAGAGAUCAAGAAGGUACUGAGUGAGAAUGUUACAAUAAUUUCCUUGAGCACUGGAACAGAACAUUAAAUUAUUUUGAGAGACUCUGAGUUAGCAGCUGGAGCUUGCUGACGAAAUUAAAGGGUGGAUAGAAACCACCAAUCAUUAUCAUCAUCAUCACCAACCCAGGAGGCAAGUAUUUUUAAUAUAGAAUGUGAGAAUUUAGAACAGGAGGGCUCUUGAAAUAAUCAACAUCUCCUUUGGGUUCCAAUCCUCCUGCAUCUCAUAUGCUUCAUUCUGCAUUCACAGUGAAAGUGCUCCAGAUGGAGACAAUGACACUGGGGGAUGUUCAGAGAAGUUUGGCACAGCUACAGCACAGAAGGGAGGUCCAAACUGAUGCAGCAUAUUGUGCAAGGAGGGUGUCAAAGAGCUGAGACUUGAAGAGGUUAACAAAGGCCAAAGAAGCAAGACCUUGUUCAAUGUAUGAGGAGGUUUUCACAGUAUCCCAAGAACAAUUGGAAGUCACUGAGGGUUUCAAGCAAGGCAAUGACAUAAUUUUCUCUGCAGUUUGGAAAGCUGAGUCUGGAGGCAAGCUGCACACUGAGUGUGCAGUUUUACGUAAGACUAGAGUCGGGAGACCCAAGAGGGAUCUGUUGUAGGAGUCCUGGACAAAGUCAAACAUGGCCUGAACUGAGUGAUGGCAUUUACAUUACUGGAGCAACUGGAGGCUACACAGAUUUCUAAGACAAAUGAUCUUUCUAGGAAAAUGUAACCAAGAUUAAAUCAAGACUGCUCAUUAUAAGCCCAACACAUUAAGCACAUCAAUGCCCCCAUAAGUGCCUCUGCAUCAAUCAGGAUUUAUCACAGAAGCGGAAUCACUGUGAGUGAUAUGGAGUAAGGAGGUAUUACGAGGAUUAUACUUUAAUCUAUACAGAAGCUGGUGGAAGAGGCCAUGUAUCUGGAACUGAUUCUAAGUAGGUAUAGAUCAGCCAAACCAGCAGUUGGGAAGAAAAGAUGAGUGUGGACAGCAGCAAAGACAAACUAUAAUUCACAAAGAUGAACUAAAACCUGCAAAGAAAAUAGAAACCUCUGAGGAAAACCGGAACACACAUCUUUCAGCACUUGUAACCUGGAUUCUGUGGAUGACAUGCAGGAUAAGCUGGUAUCCUUUGCCUUGGGAUUGCAGGCACAUUGGUUGAGGACUUAGAAAAACUGAAAGAGGAGUCAGUGAGAACUGGAGUCACUGGAGCUCCAGGUGCUGCUCCAUGCCUGCAAGGUGAGUCAUCAGGUCAGCAACAGCAUGCAUGAGCUGCCCCAGUGCCAAAUGCCAUCCAUCAACCUUCUGAGAAUAAAAAAUACACUGCCUCGCAUUUACCUCCAAAUCUCUCGGGUGGCAAAUAUUAAUGGGACUGUUAAGGGAAGAGGAUUACGGAAAACAGAUUCUGUCUAUUAAUAUUGCUACAUAACAAAUGCCCACAAAAUCUAGCUGCAUAACUAUAUCUCACAGUUUUUAUGGGCCAAGGAUCCAGGAAGUGCUUGGCUCUAUGUCUGUGGUUUGAGAUCUCUCCUGCACUUACUGUAAAACAGGGUCUGGCUUUGGAAGAGCAGGAAGGUGGAGCAGGUGGGGACUGCAGUUGCAGGACCUCUCUGUGUGGCCUCUCCAUGUAGGCUAGUUUUGGUUUCUCCAGGGCAGCCGGGCUGCUAACAUGGCUGCAGGCUUCAAGAGCAAGUAUUCAGUGAGGACAGCAGAAAUAGCAUGACCUUUUACAAUCUAGCCUCAGAAGUCAUAUGGCAUCACUUCCAGGAUGUUGCAUUGUUUCAAACAGUCAUAAAAGUGCACCCAGGUUCAAUGGAGGAGGAAUUAGAGUCUACCUCUUGAUGGAGGAAUCGUAAGGGUCUGGAAGAGCACAUGGAAUGAAAGAUCCUGUUGGCAUACUUCUUUCUUUCAGUAUGUCUAGCCAGAAGAUCUAUGCAGAAAUCAGCAUCUGAAUUUUUUCACUUUAUUUAUUUUCUGGUAACUCCUAAGUCAAACAAUAACAAUAAAUACCAGAUAAAUGUAAAUUCUGUUUGUAGUUCUUGACAUAAUUGGGAUGUAUUCCUAAGUAUGAUUAUGAUAAUACCUGCUAUAUAUUCCUAACAUUGAGACAACAAUAUCUAGGGGAUGAGACAGAAAGAAAAAUGAAGCCCACAUUAAAAUUACUACAUAAAAUUUUAAAGUAGUUAUUGUUUUAACCUCUCUGGGCUUCAGUUUUGUCAACCGUGAAAUGAAGACACCCUACAUAAAUGACUUACUUCAUCUUCCAUCAGUUUCUUGAAUCUACAAUAAAGAAGACCAUAUUUAAACACCCUCUACAAGAUGAAGACCUUUUUUUUAACAAAGUGAACAAGAAAACCAGUAUUUAGGAAUGAUGUAUUUGAUUGCUUUUUCCUAGAUUUGAAAUUUACAUGUGAGAUGUUAAGAGCAAUAUUAAGAAAUAUAACUCUGAAUCUCCUUCCAAUGCUUCUGAUUUUCAGACAUGUACAGUGCCUUUUAUCUGCAGAAAAGUACAACAUGAUUCAAAGAUAAACCAAUUUUGAGAAACAGAGAUGGAUUAAUAAAAUAUUUACUGUUCAAGAAAGAAAAGAAAGCUUCUAUAAUUCUCCUACAUUUCUCUUCAUUAUAACCCUACAGAAUGUUUGCUCAUGUGAGUCACAAAUGAAUCUGGGGAAGAAUCUAGCAGAGGGUUUUGAUUAAAUGGUAUGCUGAAUAAACAAUGCUGAGACAUUUUAAUGAGGUCACAUAAAAAGGCUGUGUGGAAAAGAAAUAUUUUAAAAAUCACUUUGAGGCUCUAUCCUUAAAUCAUUUCCUGGAGAACUGGGCUCUAUUUCUUCUCAUUGUACCAUUAACCAAAGACUUUAAAUCCUCUCACUGAUUUUGCUACCAUGAAUGAUCCAUGGCUCCUUAGCACAUAGAUUUCCAUUUCUGUGUUUCUGAAAAUUAUUGAGGCUCAUUCUAUGAGCCUGAUUUCAAUAAUGAAAUCAGGUAAAUAAAUGCCCUGUUUAAAGCUAAUGGCAUUUAGUUACUUCUUCACAUAAGUCAAAAGCAAAGUUAAAUAAUAGGCCUAUAGCUCUUUACGAAACAAUGCCAAAAUAUUGUUGCUCGCCUAUAAUGCUUGCUGAUGGCCAGAGAGCCAGAGGUUAUACAAAAGUCAAUCUGAAGGCUGGGCAUGGUAGGUCACUCCUGUAAUCCCAGCACUUUGGAAGGCCGAGGCGGGCUGACCACUUGAGGCCAGGAGUAUGAGACCAGCCUAGCCAACAUGGCAACUCCCUGUCUCUAGUAAAAUUACAAAAAUUAACUGUUGUGGUGGCACAUGUCUGUAAUCCCAGCUACUUGGGAGGCUGAGGCACAAGAAUCACUUGAACCCGGGAGGCAAAUAUGGUUGCAGUGACCCAAGAUCACACCACUGCACUCCAGCCUGGGUGACAGAGUGAGACUCUGUCCAAAAAAAAAAAAAAGAAAGAAAGAAAGAGAAAAGAGGGGAGGGGAGGGAAGUCAGUCUGAGAUUUUUGAGACCAAGAAACAAAGACUUGGGAAGUUAAAUAUAUGGACCAAACUCAUAUAACCAAUUGGCAACUGAAUCUGACCUUAAUAUGAUUGGCUUGGAAAUGGGAUAGGGCUGACAAGAAGAUGGAUGUUAGUCCCUAUGAGGCAUGGAAAGAAGGGGAAAAGGAAUCAAACAUGACCAGAACUGGUCUGUAUGGUCAAAAAGUAGUCAAAUGUUGGCAUUGUGGAUUUAAGAGGUAGGACAGUUAGAGGUGAUAUAAAGGUUCAGGUCGACCCAUGCAAAUUGGUGACAUAAGUGGAAUAAAGUCAAGGAACUGAGAAAGGCAAGGGUGUGAAUUGAGUCAUUGACACACAUACUAAAAUCCUGGAUGACAUCCCACAGUGGAGAGAAAUGUUGUGGGUGAGUUUUACAGGUAUUUAGUGAUUUGGGGACCAAAAUAGAGAGUUAUUAGACAACUGGGCCAAUGUGAGGACCAGCAUAGAAUAGCCAGAAACAACGGGCCUCAGAAGCCCAACGCUUUUCCAGGGGUUGGAGACAUAAUGGUUUGUAACAGGCAUGUUAAGGCUAGAAGUCAACCACUUUCUUCCCCAGAGAUCUCCUGGUUUGGGAAAAAUUAGCUGCUAUGCUUAUGUGGGCCACAGAGAAACAGGAUUCAGUGGAGACAACAGGGUAGAGUGAAUGUGUUUGGAAGAGAAGAGGAUGCAAAGGAGUCUGUUUACCAUAGAAGAUAAAUAUUCAAAAGGCAAAAGAGAAAGGUUUGAGAGGGAGGGUUGCAGUAGAAACUUGGGUCUCAGGAACAGAAACAGGAAGCUGUGUGGGAUGUCACUACCUUUCAGGCAGAAACACAAAAAGAUGAAAAUACAUGGGCACCAUCCACAAAAAGAAUACAGUCUAUAUGAGAAAAUUGUCCUAGCAAACAGAAUUAUCAUUAAACAUGGAUUACAUCCAUUAUAUACACACAUAUGUGCCCACAUAGCAGUAACAUACAUAUAUACCUUUUAAAUCUGUCUGCUACUCACCCAGAGAUAAAUCUUGUCUUCUCAUCUAGAUUGUAAGCUACUAAAAAAAAGGCUUAUGUUGUGUAUCAGUGUUAUUAGCAUAAAUCGAAGUCGAAUUUAGGUAGGUCAAACCAAAUUAAGAUCAUCUGAGAAUGUUCAACCCCUUCUUUUUCUGUUUUCAUUUGUUACCAUUAAAAAUUAAUAUCUUUUCUUAUCUGAGACGUUUACAAAUCUGUCAGUGUAACCCAGUAUGUUGAUGAAUAAAGCUGAGGACGGCCUGGACAUCA